CUUGCUUUAGCAGCACAUGUACUAAAAUUGGAACAAGAUAGAGAAGAUGAGCAUAG
rnacentral:snRNA from 1 species